UUCUGGUGACGCCAGAUCGCACAGGAGUGUGGGAUAUCUUGACUGCAAGAAAGUUUACUCAGUCUUCUGAUAAUCAUAGGCCCCAUAAGAUACUACAGAUCUCCAUAGUACGCAAAAGCCUACGUUCAAGCCGAUCUGUGCUUCCUCAAAAGACGUUACAGAUUUAGUCCGGAACAGACAGAGAUGUUUUCCUCGGCGCGCACCAAUGAAGAAGUGGGCAUGAGGAUGGCUCAUUACAUGGUGCGCACAUUUGUUUCAUUUUAUCUUUUGCUGUUUCUAUGAAUUUUCGACUCCGGUAUCGUUCUUAGCAAGCAAACCAGUCUGCGUACAAACCCUCGGAAAUGGAGGAGCAUGCGAUGACAAGGGAGCCUUUCAAGACAUAUCAGAUAUAUUAAAAAUCUACUGUUCCCAAACGCAACAGUGGAUGUACAACGCCUACAAGCUGGUGAAGCGCGAUGUAAAGCAUGCUUCUUUCCUGGAGAGCUGGAACAAAAGAGGUGAGAACACGCACAUGUCACUCAGCUGCGGAUGUCAAAUUUUUUUUGAUCUCUUAGAUUCGGUGUAUGAAAAAAAUUUAUCAAAACUUACUAUGGGCUGUAACCUUGCAGAUUCUGCCAGAACCCUUUGGCCUGAUGAUGUCUCGGACGAUGAUCUGCUGCAUUCCUGGAUCAUGGAGAAUGGAGGAUACGUGCACCCUAAUUUGUACUUGGGGGCAUCUCCGAGGACAAA
rnacentral:lncRNA from 1 species